AAAGACAGCGUUAAAGGGGUAUGUGACAACAGUGGUCGCACGAUAUUAGACUGCAUAUAUACAUAUAGACAUAGGAUUAUGAUUGUCUGGCAACUCAAACAAAUUUGUGCCUCAUUUGCUUGUGAUAAAGAUAGAAUGGCUCUUCAGAAAAUGUCUCGGUCAGUGUAUGUUGGGAUUUGUCAAGAGAUAGGGACUCCACAACAGGUGACGUCUAGGCGAAACAGAAUUGAUGAUUGUGAGUUACUUGUGAAUCAAGUAUUGAAAGAUGAACUCAAAUUACAAUUAAUGAUGAGUGGAAGUAGAAAAGAAGGAUUCAGAUUUCGUGGUUCAGACGUAGACAUUAUGUUCUGGCCAACUGAUCACCAGGUGAUCUGGGACUUUUCUCAGAUUCGUUUUAACAACAUACAAAGUCAUGUACCGGUUUUCUGCGACAGUUCGGAGAGUCCACCAGGGUUCACUUUACUUAAGAUACCGGUACCAUUAGAAUGCGCCGUCUUUCUGAAUCGUUCUUUAAACGAAGAUGCUUUUUAUUAUGUAAUGAGAUCUUGUGUAGAACACAAUAAACAGGCUUUGCAUAUCAAGUAGUAAAUACAGGGAGAUCAUCCAAACGAUAUCGUUUCCUGGUUCCGGAAUACAUGGACCAUGUAGUACUGGGACACUGGGGGGUGGAAUAGAAUAUGACCAAGCCUAUUGUUUUGUCAGUAAGCUUUGGCCUCCCUCUGCCUCCAGUUGGAAAGACAGAUGUCUUUCAUGGCCAUCGCCUGAUGUUGUCGAUGACAUUGUUAGAAGCGGAUGCCAUUUUGUAGCAAUAGGACACAAACUAGGAAACCAUGAAGACCACGAAUGGAGAAUUUCAUUCUCUCAGGCAGAGUACAAACUUGUAUACUCGAUGAAUCACACACAAUUUCUAACUUUAUGGAUUGUUGAAAGUAUUCUUAAAGGAAAUAAUAAACAAAGGAAUUAGAGAUGAGGAAAAACUACUGUGUUCCUACCACAUGAAGACAGCCCUAUUCUGGGCUAUACAACAAAACGCUCUAGAAAACUGGUCUCCUCAAAAUCUCUUGGGAGGUUUCUGGGUUUGUUUCAAACUUCUCCUUAAAUGGGUUUAUGAGGGCGCCUGUCCAAAUUUUUUUAUUCCAGCAAACAACAUGUUUCUUAGCAAAAUAUUUGGUAUGACACAGCAAACAUUCUUUAGGAAACUGUACGGAUUGUACGAGAGGGGAAUUGGAAUGCUGCUAAACAGUGAAUUCAUACAAACAUACAUGAUCAAUGUUCUCUGUAAUCCGAGAUUCGGGGUCUGUCUUGAUGUACAGACCAGAGAGGUUGCUUUAGAUACAGAGAUAUUCCUUGACAUUGUCGGAAUCGAUGUCAUACAUCUCACAAGCAUUGGGGACGGUAUAAGGUUUCUGCUACACCCGAUUCUACAGAAUCUAUGUAUUACAGGUUCACAGUUUCAAAUGGCCGUGUUACAGAAACUUGCAGCCACCACGUUUCAAUCAUUUGCUUUUCUAUUGUUUAACACAUAUUAUAACAAAGGUGUUAACAAAAUGAUGUAUAUUAUUGACAAAAUAUCAUGUCACCUGUUAAAACUAGCGACCAAGUGUGGUAUUAUCAAUGGCAUGUUGUACAUCGCCAUGUAUUAUUACAAAACAUGCAGAUACAGGGAAGCUUUAUCUGUAAUAGAGAUGACAAAGGGCAAGUUAUCACAGCCAUGUUUGAUGUAUAAGAGGCAUGUAGAUCUCGACAGUUAUACCGAGGCUGUAGGUGGAAAACCUUUGUCUAUAAAAAUGAGACAGGCGCUUUUAUGGGAUAUUCAACUCAGUAAUGAAAUAUGUUAUAUCAGCGAAUUGCAACCAGAACAGCAGCAUGAAACAAAGUAUCAUAUGCAUUCUCCUUUAUUAUAUAUCCCACCUGUUGUACUGUGUCACAUGCUAGAGUAUUUAUGCUAUCGACAUGUUAAUUUAAUUGAUAUUAAAGAAAAAGAAGCUCUAGAUGAUCUCGAGUUCUUAGUCAAUCAUGAUAAGGGUAAGUUUGUACCUGAACAACUUAGAGACAUCUCCUGGGAGAUUUUGGGGAUCUGUCAACAGAUGGCAGGAAACUUCCAGGAUGCUCGGUAUUCAUACCAACAGUCCCUCGAACAAGACCAUACCAAUCAACUAGAACACGCUACCAGACAGAGAAUCCGUGAGCUAAAUAGUUAAUAUCAAGUUAACUGUCGUACACUGUUGAUUAGACUGUUUGUUGCUUAUUUGUUAUAUUUGCAAGAACUUUGUGCUAUGAGAACAUUUGCAGUCUUAAAUUAUUCACAGCUCCGACUUAACUUUGACAGUAUCAAGUUGAAUACCUGAGCUAUCAAACACAUCUUUUAUAAACAUUGGACUUUUUUGCAAAGAAAUCGAAAACUCUGGAUGAUCUGCAAUUAUCCCAACCGCAUAACUAUAAAAUCAAAAACAAAUUGCUUACCAACAAAGUUUCCAAAAUUUACUAAUUAACAGUACAUAUUCGUUCCAGAAUCAUUUAUAUCACAAUCCAUAGAUUUAUAAAUGUGUACAUUUUUCUGUAGGGUACCUCUGAUUUUUAUUUUAUGUUUACAUCCUUUUUGAUGUCUCAAUUUUGUCACUUCAGGUGUUGGUCAAUAAUAGACUAUACUCGGGCUGUUCUUUUUGUUUACUAUGAUACUAUAAAUACCCAUAUUUGCAGUAAUAAUAAUAGUCACCAAUGUUCCGGUAUUCAACAACGUACCACCCGUGUAACCUUCUUCACUACACUGAAAGCCGGUGGACGAAAGCCGUCAUCUUAGGACGUGGUUCAUAAGAAAGACACAUUGGAGGAACAUUAGAGGAACGCUGAGGACACUUAUACCACCAAAGGAGGCCAUAUGAUGGAACUGUUAUCAUAAACUUUUUUUUCGGUCAAUAUAUUUUUUGUAAAUACAUGUAUGUAUAUUUGUAAAUUUAUUGAUUUUGAAUAUAGAUAAAACUGAAAAUACUCA
rnacentral:sRNA from 1 species